GGGAAAGAAGCUGGGAAUGUGCUUUUGAUGCCCUCCUUGCCUUUCCAGAAGGGGUCAGAGAGUCCGCUUUCACGGAUGGAAGAAAGAUGGUGUCAAGAUAGCCUCUCUUCUGCCAGUUACAUAUCAAAUAAAGGAGAAUUUGUUUGCACAGGGCCUUUCAUCUGCUAACUGACAAAAGCUUCAGUAAUACAAACAGGGCUGAACUUCUUGUUUUUGUCUUCUGAUUUUGUUUCUGUUCCAGAGAUAAAUGGUAACAUACUGGGAGGACUGUACUGUGGAAGCGGUGCAGCUGAUACCUUUGUUCGGAGCCUUGUUUUUCUCUUUUCAUGCUAUGCAUACAGCUACAGAGCAGCACAACACGCUGGGCUGUCCAUGCACAGCGUUAUCCACUGUGCUGUGGCAGAUGUAAGGAGGCCCUUCUUGGCUUUGAUUGUGCAAACUCCGUGGCCAUUUGGGCAUUACAUGUCCCAGGUGAAUUGAAAUUGAAGACGUACCUGUCCUUAUACCUCAGAUAGUCUGCUUUCCACAUUGUUGUUCUGCAAAGAUGAUGGAAAUACUAUUGAUCCUUGUGAGCACUCUGAGAGAAAUGUCAUGAACCGAGAAGGCCCUUGAGACGAUAUUUACUCCGACCAAUCUGCAGGAGUCGUUCAUUGUGGGUUAAGGUAAAAGCAUAUUAUUGCUUUUCUGUUAU
rnacentral:lncRNA from 1 species